GUUUAAGCGGCUUUGUUUGUAAAAAGUUCAAAGUGUUCUUAAUUUAUUGGAAAUAUGGAUUAUUGAUAGUUGAAGUUACAGCAGAGAGUGAGAGAGUUUGACAGUAUGCGUGUUUGAAGAAGAUAAUGCUUUUAUUGGUACAUUCAAUUCCACAAACUGAGUGUUGAUUUCCUCGAUUUCAUUGACUCGAUGAUUCAUUCUUUGAUUUCUAAUGAUCAAUCAACUUAUUGAUAAAUUUGAUUUACG